UAUCACUUACAGAUGGGCCCGCGGCGCAUUAGCUAGUUGGUGAGGUAACGGCUCACCAAGGCGACGAUGCGUAGCCGACCUGAGAGGGUGAUCGGCCACACUGGGACUGAGACACGGCCCAGACUCCUACGGGAGGCAGCAGUAGGGAAUCUUCCGCAAUGGACGAAAGUCUGACGGAGCAACGCCGCGUGAACGAUGAAGGUCUUCGGAUCGUAAAGUUCUGUUGUUAGGGAAGAACAAGUACCGUGCGAAUAGAGCGGUACCUUGACGGUACCUAACGAGGAAGCCCCGGCUAACUACGUGCCAGCAGCCGCGGUAAUACGUAGGGGGCAAGCGUUGUCCGGAAUUAUUGGGCGUAAAGCGCGCGCAGGCGGUUCCUUAAGUCUGAUGUGAAAGCCCACGGCUCAACCGUGGAGGGUCAUUGGAAACUGGGGAACUUGAGGACAGAAGAGGAGAGUGGAAUUCCACGUGUAGCGGUGAAAUGCGUAGAUAUGUGGAGGAACACCAGUGGCGAAGGCGACUCUCUGGUCUGUUUCUGACGCUGA
rnacentral:rRNA from 2 species